UCCUGUUAGCAGGCCAGCGGGCUGGAAAGAAGAUCAAAAAGCAUGUCUGGGAAUGUGACUGAUGGACAGUGCAGUGGAGAUGAAAGGACCUGCAACUCCAGCCUCUUGGGAAGAGUCACAGAAAGCAGAAGAUGGAUGGCCUGGGGAGGAGAGCUCCAGCAAAGUGAGGAAGUGUGGGCUUUAGAAUGCCAGAAGGGAGACCAAGGUGGAGUCAAGAAAAAAACUAGCCCUAACAGGAG
rnacentral:lncRNA from 12 species